GUAGAUGCCCGCCUAUCUUCACAAUCGUGUUGGAAUGGGAGAAUAGAGCAACUGAAGACGAGAUAUCUGAAACAACAAAGGCUCUGGACUGGGAGAUAGAUAUCAGCAGGCUGUACGAAGAAGGCUUAGAACCAAACACUAACUACCGGCUUGUGUCAAUGGUUGGUUGCAGUGGAGUAGGAGAACACAUAUGCUUGGCUUAUGAAAAGAACCGGUGGGUCAAUCUCAGACGUGAGUGUUUAGCAGGAGAGGAUGUUGGUGACUGGAAAAAUGUGGUCAAAUUCUGUGGAGAGAGGAAGGUUCAGCCAGAGAUUCUGUUUUAUGAAGCUGCCUGAUUGACGACCUAACAAGUGACAGUAUUGUAUCAAUGUGGUGAAGUCCAGCAUUGGUGUAUAAACAGUGACAUGUUCCAAUUUAAAAGUUGUGUUUUCACGGCUUCUGUUCCCUUGGGAACUACAUUUGUUCAUCUACAGAGUCCUUAUAUAUAUCAGCUCAAUGCAAACAAAAACAAAAUAUGUUUCUUUUUUUGUCUUUUA